AUUAAGGGUGAGAGAUCAUGAUAUUCUAGGGAAGUUUUCUCCUAUGUCCUAAUUAUUGAUACUUCAGGAUAUGAUAGAAAUAGUAGGAUAACAAAUUCUCAUUUUAGAAUAUUGUCAUCCCAUAUCAAGAGAGAGAAUUAAGGAGGGAGAUCACCCAAAGAGGAAGGUUUGUAAAUUACUUCUCACCUCUUUGCCAUCAAGGCAGUGGUACAACCAUCUCUAUUCAUUGUGGGUGGCAAGAAUACUUUUAUAAAUUCUCAUUUUAGACCAAACCUUGUUGCUACACACUCUGGCGGUGAAAUCAAUGAUCGACCAUCAAGCAAAAAUAGGCAAAACCUUUGUCAUUUCAAAAGUAUGCAAAAUCUGCUUUGGUGAAGUGAUCUACUACUUCUUAAAGUGAGAGCGAGUUCACCAUGGCAAGCGAUAGGAGUUUUCAUGAACCUCGCAAGACGAAUUCAGCCACAAACCUAAUAUCUUGGUUGAAGACUCAAUCACAAAACAUAGGACCUACAAUGAGAUGAGAUGGAGUCUUCAAAUUUAUCACAGAGGGUAUUAUAGAAAGAAUCCUAUUAGCCCUCCCAAUAAAAUCCAUGGUGAGUGUGUAAAGCAUGGCAUCAACUUCUCUAUUCUCCAUAUUUUAGUCGAAUCCAAUACCUUGGACCAAAAUCACACUCUGACCCAGUUGCUAUUGUAAUCAUAAGAACAGGUUUCCGAGGCUUCGUAUCUCGGAUAUCUUAAGCAAUAGAAAAGUGUAGUGUAUAAGAGAGAUCUAAAUUUUCUUAAUAGAUUGAGCAAUAGUAAAGUGUGUAACAGAGAUCUAUAUUUCCGUAAGGAACGCAAGGUGGGUAUGGUUGAUGCUUGCAACGGUCUAGCAUGCAUUUGCUUAGUAGGUGGUGGAAAUGAUGGAAAUGAACCUGCAGAAUUCGUUGUAUGUAAUCCAACGACGCAAGAUUACAUUGCUCUCCCAUUGCUUCAUGCUGAGCCAAAUAAAUACGGAUUUUUUUUUUGACCCACUUAAUCAAAGAUUCAAGAUACUUGUGUACUCGAGCGAGCGAAGCGGAUGAGUAUCAGAUGUUUAGCUCCUCAACUGGAUACUGACUGGAAAUCAGUAGAGAGACCACCUGCUCCUGCCCCGACAACAUGGCGCUGGAGUUACAACUUAUUGUGUAUAAAUGAUGCAUGCUAUGAGCCCAACGAUUCCAAAUUGGAAAUCUUUCAUAUGGACAGAGAGGUGUGGGAAAGCAUUGAUUUGCCUGGUAACCCCCAGCAGUUGGUGGGUUGGGAAGAGAAAGUAUGUUUGGCUGAGAAAUCUAAUAAUAUGGGAAUUGAGCAUAAACAAGGAUCGGAAGAAAGUGAUCUCACUAAGAAUUAGUGAGAAGGUGGCAGAGAAGUUUUCAGGCCCUAAAAUUGUUCUUUGUCGUGAUUAUACCCUUGUUGCAUUGAACACCACCACUUGCAGGAGGUGGUAUGAAACAACAGCUGAGCUCACUUUGUACAAGUUGAGUGGGAAUAAGAAAGGGAAAGAAAUAUAACUUUGUGAGGAAACAUCAGGGUCCAGGACAGCUACCCUUCCUUGGGAUUUCCCCCUUCACUCCAACACUCUAUGUUCCCAACUUCCUAAUUACUUAGGUACACUAGAAUUUUUUUCUUUUUUAUACUAAUAUUUUGAACUGCCAUUUGCGGAUAUGUUA